ACAGCAUGCUCCCUGUCGUCUCCACUACGAAUGCUCCCUGUCCGUCUCCCUACAGAAUGCUCCCUGUCCUCCACUACAGAAUGCUCCCUGUCCGUCUCCACUACAGAAUGCUUCCCUGUCCCGUCUCCACACAGAUGCUCCCUGUCCGUCUCCACUACAGAAUGCUGCCUGUCCGUCUCCACUACAGAAUGCUCCCUGCCCGUCUCCACCACAGAAUGCUCCCUGCCCGUCUCCACUACAGAAUGCUGCCUGUCCAUCUCCACUUCUGAAUGCUGCCUGUCCGUCUCCACUACAGAAUGCUGCCUGUCCGUCUCCACUACAGAAUGCUGCCUGUCCGUCUCCACUACAGAAUGUCUCACAAGCACAACGGUGUUGUCCGUUUUGCUCUAUGACCCUCACAAGUGUCACUGGACUCGUCUGAAGUCUGUAACGCUGAUGUGACAACCUCUGUCUGUAGCGUCCGAAACGUUUGAGCUACAAACUAAUUUGACCCCACUAUGGAAAGAGAAGACUCUUACGAACUUACGAACACGAUGUAUAGGGGUAGAUUUGUGCUAAUAAAAGUAAGGGGUAAAAUAUGUGUAAGAAAUAUAUAUAUAUUUCCUGAGUUUUCCUAUACACUAUAUAUGCAAAAUAUGUGGACACCCCUUUAAAUAAGUGGAUUCGGCUAUUUCAGCCACUCCCGUUGCUGACAGGUGUAUAAAACCGAGCAGAGCCAUGCGAUCUCCAUAGACAAACAUUGGUAGUAGAAUGGCACCGUCAUAGGAUUCCACCUUUCCAACAAGUCAGUUUGUCAAAUGUCUGUCCUGCUAGAGCUGCCCCCGGUCAACUGUAAGUGCUGUUAUUGUGUAGUGGAAACGUUUAGGAGCAACGGCUCAGCCGUGAAGUGGUAGGCCACACAAGCUCACAGAACGGGACCUCCGAGUGCUGAAGUGCGUAGCGCGUAAAAAUCGUCUGUCAUCAGUCGCAACACU
rnacentral:lncRNA from 1 species